AGGAAGAUUAAGAAAGAAGGGGAGGAAACUGGGAAGAAAGGAGAAUCCAGAAAUGAUUAGGGCACGGAAAGAAGAGAAGAAGAGGAGGGGGAAGAAGAGGAAGGAAAGUUCUUCAAUUUUCAGCCAUAAUGGCAUCAACCCCUUUCAGCAUGGCACAGUGAAAAUUAUACCUAUUGGGAAUGCAGCUGGACGGAGCUCUGCAGCCCAACGAGGACUACCCAUUUGCCAAGGUGACACAAGGAGUUAGUGGCUCUCUCCAGAUUAGACCGCAAGAGCCUCCUGGCUCCUCGAAUGCCAAGAACAAAUCGCAUGACCAACAAGAGAGUUAAGCGCUUCAUUUUGUUGCAACUUCAAGUGGAUUCUUCAGCUUUAGAAUGUAUUGGCAUUUGUAUUUUUUUUUAAGAGUCCCAAAGACUCAUUCUUUCUCACUGGGCUACAUUUCUACCGUGACUGCAUCAGAUAUCAAUUUGUUUUUCUGUGAAUGCCAAACUUCCUGCCAGCCUUCCACUAGAUUUAUUCAUCCAGGCUGAAGGGUAGUGGCAGCAGAGUAAAAUGUGGCCGUGGAGUGUUCUGCUCACACUGGGGACAGGGAGAGGACGAUGACCCAGAGCUUAGUUAAUGCUGACAGAAAACUGAGGACACUGAUUGUCUCCAAAGUGUCUCCUAGAGCCAGGAAAAACCUGCUGAGGGGGAGAGAAACUGCCAGGAGACAGCAUGGGAGCUUUGACAUCUGUUGGAGCUCUCUUCUCUACAAGAGCUGUUUUGCCCAGAGUGCUAACAAGAGGAAAUAAGUUUCCCUAUUUUUUGUAUGUGUCAUCCAUGCCAAUAGAAGAAAGGGUGUUGUUUCCAAGGUAUGUACUUUCGCCACAUCCUAACAAGACUCUGUUAUCCGAGGGAACAAGGAGGCAAUAACAUACAAAACUCUUUUGAUAAGAAAUUGUGAAAUUAGUAAAAUAACUAGCCAAAUUAUUCAUCACUCAAUACUUUUCUCUGUAAAUUUAUGUUCACACAAUACUGCAAUAUUAAUAAAUAGGACUACUGAUAUCAUUAAUAAUUAUUAUUACGAUGCAAUCUAAUUAUAAUAAUGUGAAUUAUUAGUAUCAUGGAUCCAAAAUUCCAAUUUUAAGGAAAGAAAGGGAAAAGAUGGAUGGGAGAGAAUGAUAGUCACCCUUCAUCUCUAAACUUCAAGCUGGUAGUUAAUGAUUCAACGAGAAGAUAAUAAAACUAAAAUUGAGGCUGCUAGCUAUGUUAGUGGACAGAGCAUAUUCAAAACAUAAAAAAAAUAUUAAAAAAAGAAGACUUCAUUGUGUUCUUGAAUGCUGCAAUGGCAACAUAGAGGACAUAGACACAGCAGACAAACUUUCAGAAUUCACAGCAAUGCCCAGAAGACACAAUAUUUUAAUAAUAGAAAUCACACAUAGCUCUGAGUGACAGCAGAUUGACUGUCCGAGUCUGAAUGAAGAGUUCUAGUGGAAACACAUGGCAGUUCCAAUGCAACUGGACUUAGGACAAGUUUACAUUAAAUUUAUUGCAGAUGUUCAAAUGCAAUAUAAAUGCAUAAUAUUUCUCUUUGUUUUGCAUCGUCUUUAAUUAGAGCAGAAGCAAUAGGGAUCAAUCAUGAGAAAGCAAUGACCUAUUAAAGAUGUGUACUAUUGUUUUGGUUUAUGUAUGCAUUCUAGUUCUCUCUGAUUUAUUAUUCCAAUGCACAACCAUGCUGAUCUCAAAACUAUUUCAUUCAGCAUCAUCACAAUAAAUCCCUAAUCUCUUAA